CUGCCUGGAUGAUCAUGGACUAACCCUCUGAAACUUUUGUAUAGGUCUUCAGUUCUUGAAUGCCUGGGAGAAAUGCAGGAUGAAGUAGCGCAUGCUCUUAGCUGUUGGGGCGAUUAAGAUACUGCUGUGUACUGGCUCCCUGUCUGUGGCUUCCUCUCUCAUGGUUCCUCAGCUCACAGCUCAUGGAACUCUGAAUUACCAAGGGUAGAGAGUCCACAAGUUUCUUCACUGAGAUUACUUGAUUUAUACCUCAGCUCACUCUGGAGAUUAUUAAUCAAUAGUACUCGACUGUCUCCUAACUGAAAGUUUGAGGUCCUGCCUUGGCGUCCCUCAAGGGAUGGUGACUCAGGAGAUAAAGACCUCCACAAGACCACCUGAGAACAAUGUACAACGAUACCUUCCAGAAGCCAGGCAAUUAGGAUACCAACGCCAGGUCGAAGGCUGGAGGGACGAAGGAACUAAAUGUGAAGAGUGUUUGGCUGUGGGUCUCUGCAUUUGCUCCC